rnacentral:lncRNA from 1 species
GUAAUGGAUGAGGCAUAUUGAUAUUAGAGAGAGCAUGCGUAGCCAAGUGAACAUAUGGGUCCAGUGAGUGGUUGGGAUGGUUGGGGACACGGCGAUUCAGACAGUUAGCAGGCCGGUGCUAACAAGCUAGCAGAUAGUAGGCCGGGGCCCACAUGCUAGCAGUUAGCAGACCGGGUUAGCAAGCAAGCAGUUAUCAGACCGGGGCAAGCAAGCUAGCAAUUAGCAGACCGUGGCUAGCAAGCUAGCAGUUAGCAGACCGGGGAUAGCAAGUUAGCAGAAGGGCCUUUGGGGGACGUCGCGAUGGAGGAAAUCUUAAGUCUUAUUACAUACAGCCGGGAGGAACUAUUGGAUAUAAGAGCAACGUCAACUCACCAACAUUACGACCAGGAAUAUGACUUUCCCGAAGCGGAUCCUCUGUUUGGACCACCACCCAGGACAACGGAUCUAAUCCCAGUAACCGACCCAAAACAACGGUGCCGCAGAAGGGGCAGAUGGAGCAGCCUCCUGGUCAGGCUACGUAGAUGUGCACAUCACUCACCGCUCCCGAGUAUACUACUCGCCAAUGUCCAGUCUCUUGGCAACAAGAGGACCUGAGCCCUAGGACCAUGCCUCAGGACUACCUGACAUGAUGAAUCCUUGCUGUCCCCAGUCCACCUGGCCAUGCUGCUGCUCCAGUUUCAACUGUUCUGCCUGCGGCUAUGGAACCCUGACCUGUUUACCGGACAUGCUACCUGUCCCAGACCUGCUGUUUUCAACUCUCUAGAGACAGCAGGAGCGGUAGAGAUACUCUUGAUUAUCGGCUAUGAAAAGCCAACUGACAUUUACUCUUGUGGUGCUGACUUGUUGCACUCUCAACAACUGUGAUUAUUAUUAUUUCACCAUGCUGGUCAUUUAUGAACAUUUGAACAUCUUGUCCAUGUUCUGUUAUAAUCUCCACCCGGCACAGCCAGAAUCGGACUGGCCACCCCUCAUAGCCUGGUUCCUCUCUAGGUUUCUUCCUAGGUUUUGGCCUUUCUAGGGAGUUUUUCCUAGCCACCGUGCUUAUACAUCUGCAUUGCUUGCUGUUUGGGGUUUUAGGCUGGGUUUCUGUACAGCACUUUGAGAUAUCAGCUGAUGUAAGAAGGUCUAUAUAAAUACAUUUGAUUUGAUUUGAUUCCCAGUGGGUCAGAAGUUUACAUACACUCAAUUAGUAUCUGGUAGCAUUGCCUUUAAAUUGUUAACUUAGGUCAAAUGUUUCGGGUAGCCUUCCACAAUCUUCCCACAAUAGAUUGGGUGAAUUUUGGCCCAUUCCUCCUGACAGAGUUGAUGUAACUGAGUCAGGUUUGUAGGCCUCCUUGCUCCCACACGCUUUUUCAUUUCUGUCCACACAUUUUCUAUAGGAUUGAACUCAGGGCUUUGUGAUGGCCACUCCAACACCUUGACUUUGUUGUCCUUAAGCCCUUUUACCACAAUUUUGGAAGAAUGCUUGGGGUCAUUGUCCAUUUGGAAGUCCCAUUUGCUACCAAUCUUUAACUUCCUGACUGAUGUCUUGAGAUAUUGCUUCAAUAUAUCCACAUCAUUUUCCUUCCUCAUGAUCUAUUUUGUGAAGUGCACCAAUCCCUCCUGCAGCAAAGCACCCCCACAACAUGAUGCUGCCACCCCCGUUUUUUAUGGUUGGGAUGGUGUUCUUUAGCUUGCAAGCGUCCCCGUUUUUCCUCCAAACAUAACAAUGUUCAUUAUGUCCAAACAGUUAUAUUUUUGUUUCAUCAGACCAGAGGACAUUUCUCCAAAAAGUAUGAUCUUUGUCCCCAUGCGCAGUUGCAAACCGUAGUCUGGCUUUUUUUAUGGCGGUUUUGGAGGAGUGACUUCUUCCUUGUUGAGCAGCCUUUCAGGUUAUGUCGAUAUAGGACUCGUUUUACUGUGGAUAUAGAUACUUUUGCACCUGUUUCCUCCAGCAUCUUCACAAGGUCCUUUGCUGUUGUUCUGGGAUUGAUUUGCACUUUUCGCACCAAAGUAUGUUCAUUUCAAGGAGACAGAAUGCGUCUCCUUCCUGAGCGGUGUGACGGCUGCGUGGUCCCAUGGUGUUUAUACUUGCAUACUAUUGUUUGUACAGAUGAACGCUGUACCUUCAGGCAUUUGGAAAUUGCUCCCAAGGAUGAACCUGACUUGUGGAGGUCUACAAUUUAUUUUCUGAGGUCUUGGCUGAUUUCUUUUGAUGUCAAGCGAAGAGGCAUUGAGUUUGAAGGUAGGACUUGAAAUACAUUCACAGGUACACCUCUAAUUGACUCAAAUGAUGUCAAUUAGCCUAUCAGAAGCUUCUAAAGCCAUGAUAUCAUUUUCGGGAAUUUUCCAAGCUGUUUAAAGGCACAGUCAGCUUAGAGUAUGUAAACUUCUGACCCACUGGAAUUGUGAUACAGUGAAUUAUAAGUGAAAUAAUCUGUCUGUAAACAAUUAUUUGGAAAUUACUUGUUUCAUGCACAAAGUAUAUGUCCUAACCGUCUUCCCAAAACUAUAGUUUGUUAACAAGAAAUUUGUGGAGUGGUUGAAAAACGAGUUUUAAUGACUCCAACCUAAGUGUAUGUAAACUUCCGACUUCAACUGAGUCCCGAGACGCUUGUGGGGAGAACACCAACGUUGUAAUCGGCCUGUGUGUAGCUGGUGUAGAGAGUCAGGCGUUGGACAGCAGAUAUGAGUAAUCAACGUAUUUACUCAAGUAUUCACAAAUACAACACAAUAUACCGAGCCCACAAUAAUGGACCGUAUACAAGACAAACAAUUACUCACAAACAAACAUGGGGGAACAGAGGGUUAAAUAAUGAACAAGUAAUUGGGGGAUAAAAACAGGUGUGUAAGACAAAGACAAAACAAGUGGAAAAUGAAAAUUGGAUCGGCGAUGGCUAGAAGGCCGGUGACUUCUAUCGCCGAAAGCCACCCGAACAAGGAGACGGACCGACUUCGGCGGAAGUCGUGACAAAUGUGUUUGUGAGAGUCGUCUUUCCAUAGUUUGUGAGCCAAACCAUUCAGACGCAACUGACGAUGAUGUGAGACCUAUUUUUAUGAUGUCUCAUGGUCUGACAAACACCAUCAUAUUGCAUUGUUCUGUGUUUUAUUAAUCUGUCUACAGGGCUCUGUGUUUCAUUAAUCAGUCUACAGGACUCUGUCUUUUAAUAAUCACUGUACAGGGUUCUGUGUUUUAUUAAUCAGUGUACAGGACUGUGUUUUAUUAAUCAGUCUACAUGGCUCUGUGUUUUACUAAUCAGUGUACAGGACUGUGUUUUAUUAAUCAGUGUGUUGUGUGUUUUAUUAAUCAGUCUGCAGAGCUCUGUGUUUUAUUAAUCAGUCUACAGGGCUCUGUGUUUUAAUAAUCAGUGUACAGGACUCUGUUUAACCUCUCUAGGGUAUGUGGGACGAAAUCGUCCCACCUACUCAACAGCCAGUGGAAUCCCGUGGCGCGUUAUUCAAAUACCUUAGAAAUGCUAUUACUUAAAUUUCUCAAACAUAUGACUAUUUUACACCAUUUUAAAGACAAGACUCUCGUUAAUCUAACCACACUGUCCGAUUUCAAAAAGGCUUUACAACGAAAGCAAAACAUUAGAUUAUGUCAGCAGAGUACCCAGCCAGAAAUAAUCAGACACCCAUUUUUCAAGCUAGCAUAUAAUGUCACAUAAACCCAAACCACAGCUAAUUGCAGCACUAACCUUUGAUGAUCUUCAUCAGAUGACAAUCCUAGGACAUUAUGUUAUACAAUACAUGCAUGUUUUGUUCAAUCAAGUUCAUAUUUAUAUCAAAAACCAGGUUUUUACAUUAGCAUGUGAUGUUCAGAACUAGCAUACCCACCGCAAACUUCCUGUGAAUUUACUAAAUUACUCACGAUAAACGUUCACAAAAAACAUAACAAUUAUUUUAAGAAUUAUAGAUACAGAACUCCUUUAUGCAAUCGCUAUGUCCGAUUUUAAAAUAGCUUUUCGGCAAAAGCACAUUUUGCAAUAUUCUGAGUAGAUAGCCCAGCCAUCACGGGCUAGCGAUUUAGACACCCACCAAGUCUGGCCCUCACCAAACUCCAAUUUACU